rnacentral:lncRNA from 10 species
GUAGAAUUCAGUGGGCAAAGUUGUGAGCCAUCCUCAGGAAUGUCUGUCUGGGUCACUUUACCUGAUAUUGCCAGGUACUGAUAGCUUCCUUGCUCCCUGCCUGGAGCCUGAAGCUGCUGGGGGCAGUUACAGAAGACAACUGGAGCCCUUCUGUCUCUUUCCUGUGCGGGCCCUUGGAAAACCGCUGCUCUCUCUCACCCUCAUUCCUUCCUUCAAUAUUUGUUGAGCACCUUUCUGGAGGCUGGAAAGUCCAAGUUCAAGGUCCAGCAGGGUUUGGUCUCUGGUGGGGGCUCUCUUCCUGGCUUGGACACAGCUGCCUUCAGAGUGUCCUCCCAUGACCAUUCCUCAGUGCAUGCACAUGGAUGGAGAAAUCUCUUUCUCUUCCUCUUCUAAUAAGGAUGCCUAUUAGAAGAGGUGUGGAAUAAGGCUCUACUCUUAUGACCUCAAUUAACCUUAAUUACCUCCUAAAAGCUUUAUCUCCAAAUACAAUCAUAUCGGGGGUUAGAGUUUCAACAUAUGCAUUUGUGGGAUACAUAAUUCAGCCCAUAGCAUCCACCUUGGACCCAGAGAUAGAAGCCACAACAAACAUGUUCUACCCUCCUAACUGUCUACCUCUGAACUAUUAGACAAUAGAGAAAUAAACUAGCAUGUUGGUCAAGCUACUGUGUUUUGGUUCUCUGUUAUAGCAGACUCACUGACUCACACGUAUGUAUGUUUACAUGCAUUCCACUGAGCAAGAAGAAAAGUAUGAAACAAUGCCCUUUAAACUGUUGCUGUUGAUUGCUACAAGGUAGGAGUGGUGGAUGAACUGAAAUAAGAAUAUCGAGGGGAAAAGUUAUCCAACAGCACCUCAGGUUUUGCGAUCACACCCAAUAGCUAGAUGACUGCGGGAAACACACUUUUCCCCACUUUUUAAAUAAAUGCUUAAAACAGUAAAAAUCUUUACAACAGGACUUUCGUUUUCCCCCAAGACCGAGUCUCUCACUGUUGCCCAGGCUGGAGUGCAGUGGCGCGAUCUCAGCUCACUGCAACCUCUGCCUUCUGGGUU